rnacentral:rRNA from 1 species
GACGAACGCUGGCGGCGUGCCUAAUACAUGCAAGUCGAACGAGAGCGACCGGUGCUUGCACUGGUCAAUCUAGUGGCGAACGGGUGAGUAACACGUGGGUAACCUGCCCAUCAGAGGGGGAUAACAUUCGGAAACGGAUGCUAAAACCGCAUAGGUCUUCGAACCGCAUGGUUUGAAGAGGAAAAGAGGCGCAAGCUUCUGCUGAUGGAUGGACCCGCGGUGCAUUAGCUAGUUGGUGAGGUAACGGCUCACCAAGGCCGUGAUGCAUAGCCGACCUGAGAGGGUGAUCGGCCACAUUGGGACUGAGACACGGCCCAAACUCCUACGGGAGGCAGCAGUAGGGAAUCUUCCGCAAUGGACGCAAGUCUGACGGAGCAACGCCGCGUGUGUGAAGAAGGUGUUCGGAUCGUAAAACUCUGUUGUUAGAGAAGAACAAGUGCUAGAGUAACUGUUAGCGCCUUGACGGUAUCUAACCAGAAAGCCACGGCUAACUACGUG